GACGAACGCUGGCGGCGCGCCUAACACAUGCAAGUCGAACGAGAGAUGAAGAGCUUGCUCUUCAAAUCGAGUGGCGAACGGGUGAGUAACGCGUGAGGAACCUGCCUCAAAGAGGGGGACAACAGUUGGAAACGACUGCUAAUACCGCAUAAGCCCACGGGUCGGCAUCGACCAGAGGGAAAAGGAGCAAUCCGCUUUGAGAUGGCCUCGCGUCCGAUUAGCUAGUUGGUGAGGUAAUGGCCCACCAAGGCGACGAUCGGUAGCCGGACUGAGAGGUUGAACGGCCGCAUUGGGACUGAGACACGGCCCAAACUCCUACGGGAGGCAGCAGUGGGGAAUAUUGGGCAAUGGAGGAAACUCUGACCCAGCAACGCCGCGUGGAGGAAGAAGGUUUUCGGAUCGUAAACUCCUGUCCUUGGAGACGAGUAGAAGACGGUAUCCAAGGAGGAAGCCCCGGCUAACUACGUGCCAGCAGCCGCGGU
rnacentral:rRNA from 1 species